GACUCAACGCGGGAAAUCUUACCGGGUCCGGACACACUGAGGAUUGACAGGCAAUAUUAAUACAUCAGUUCUUUUUUAUUAAAGUCUGUGUAUUAUGUUAAAUAUGCUAGUCCUUUCAUGAUUAUGUGAUAGGUGGUGCAUGGCCGUUCUUAGUUCGUGGAGUGAUCUGUCUGCUUAAUUGCGUUUCACUAAGGGCCUAUAAAUUUACGUGUGUUGCGGCACUUUGACCCCUCUCUGAGCGCGCGUCUUAGUUUGCUUUGCUCGCACAAUUAGGUCCUGAAAGCAACGAACGUGACCGCAACCUCUUGUUGCCUUUAUUCCAAACAUGUUUGCCAUUUUAAAUGGUAUUCAUGAAAAAAGGCUUUUUAAACUAGAGGGACCGCUGUUACUUUCUUAAACCAGAGGAAGGUUGCGGCAAUAACAGGUCUGUGAUGCCCUUAGAUGUUCCGGGCUGCACACGUGCUACAAUGAUUAUUGCAGUGAGCAUCUCAUUUUUACACACCGCAUGCGCGAGUCCAUUUAUUCACCUCUCUGAGGCGCUUUAAAUGUGUACCUCUGCGCGCGGUAAAGCCUGCUUCGAGAGUAAGUGGGUAAUCAAUUAGAAGUAAUGAUUUCCUUUUUAGCACACAUAUAUACGGCGUCUAUGCCCGGGCUGCCUUGUUGUAGCUUUUGUGCGUAUAGAUGUUUUUUCCGUAUGUGCGAUUGUCAAUUCAUGGUGGGGACAGACCAUUGUUAAUUGUUGGUCUCGGUCUUAACUAGGAAUGCCUUGUACGGGUCUUUGGUUCAACAAACCACCCGGAAUACGUCCCUGCCCUUUGUACACACCGCCCGUCGCUCUUACCGAUGGACUUCUCUGUGAGUUUGAGGGACUGGGAACGCAGAUUUUAUCUGCACACCUAUGGAAACUUAAACGAACAGUGUGGUCUAAAG
rnacentral:rRNA from 1 species